rnacentral:rRNA from 1 species
AUGUUGCAAAAAUUUGGAGAUUGCGGAGACAAUUCUGAAACAACGACCGUGUUGCAGAAACAAUUCCUGAAACAAUGGCUGCGUUGCAAAAACAACUACCAUGUUGCAGAAAACUUUGAAGAUCCACCCUCGAACACCCGCACACGAAAGCGGCGGUGCCUCCAGCAUCUCUUCAGAAAAGCUCGGCUGUGGGUGUCUCCAACAUCUCCGAGCAGGUCCCUGAUUGUGUGCGUAAUGGAGAAGGAUGGGUCGCUGAGGAAGGAAGAAAGAAGCAAAAGAAAACAAAAGAUGUGGAUGGGAGCAGUCGGACGAGAAGAUAAGGCAGGAUGCAAAGCGGUGCACACCCACUGGGACAUGCGUCGCCCGUGGAAGACGGCGGACGAGUGA